GUUAGGAAUAUUCGUCAAUGGGGGGAACCCUGAACGAGCAAUGCCGCGUGAGUGAUGAAGGUCUUUGGAUUGUAAAACUCUGUUGUAUGGAAAAAAUAGCUAGGUUAGGAAAUGAACUUAGUUUGAUGGUACCAUACCAGAAAGUCCCGGCUAACUACGUGCCAGCAGCCGCGGUAAUACGUAGGGGACAAGCGUUAUCCGGAUUUAUUGGGCGUAAAGCGUGCGUAGGCGGCAUAUUAAGUUUAAGAUAAAAGCCCGGGGCUUAACUCCGGUUCGUCUUAAAAACUGAUAAGCUUGAGUGUGGUAGAGGUAAAUGGAAUUUCUAGUGUAGCGGUGAAAUGCGUAGAUAUUAGAAGGAACACCAGUGGCGAAGGCGAUUUACUGGGCCACAACUGACGCUGAGGCACGAAAGCGUGGGUAGCAAAUAGGAUUAGAUACCCGAGUAGUCC
rnacentral:rRNA from 1 species